UUUCCGUAGGUGAACCUGCGGAAGGAUCAUUAAUGAGUUGUCAUGGGGUUCGAUGCUGGCAGCCAGUUUUUGGAUGCAUGUGCUUGCCCUGACAAUCAUCUUCUUCCAAACACCUGUGCACAUUUUUGAGGGAGUCUUGAGUUGGUUGCCGCUCUUGGGUGAUUUUCUCACAUUCCCUUAAAUCAUUAUACGCUAUUAACAAUGUUGAACGUGCUCUGUGCCGCAAGGCCAUUAAUAUAAUACAACUUUUAACAACGGAUCUCUUGGCUCUC
rnacentral:misc_RNA from 1 species